CGAGUCGGCCGGGCGGCCGCGGCGGGUGAUCCCCGUCGAGGAAAGUCCGGACUCCGCAGGGCAGGGUGAUUGCUAACGGCAACCCGGGGUGACCCGCGGGAAAGUGCCACAGAGAACAGACCGCCCGGUCGGUCGGGGGAACCCGAGCGGCCGGGUAAGGGUGAAACGGUGGUGUAAGAGACCACCAGCACCCCGGGUGACCGGGGUGGCUCGGUAAACCCCACCCGGAGCAAGGCCAAGAGGGGGUCCCGCGAGGGGCCCCUGCGCAGACGCCCGAGGGCUGCCCGCCCGAGUCUGCGGGUAGGCCGCACGAGCCUGUCGGCGACGGCAGGCCCAGAUGGAUGGUCGCCACCGGGGCGCGAGCCCCGGUACAGAAUCCGGCUUACACGCCGGCUCGCCCG
rnacentral:RNase_P_RNA from 3 species